AUUGAACGCUGGCGGCAGGCUUAACACAUGCAAGUCGAGCGGAGAUGAGGUGCUUGCACCUUAUCUUAGCGGCGGACGGGUGAGUAAUGCUUAGGAAUCUGCCUAUUAGUGGGGGACAACAUACCGAAAGGAAUGCUAAUACCGCAUACGUCCUACGGGAGAAAGCAGGGGAUCUUCGGAUCUUGCGCUAAUAGAUGAGCCUAAGUCGGAUUAGCUAGUUGGUGGGGUAAAGGCCUACCAAGGCGACGAUCUGUAGCGGGUCUGAGAGGAUGAUCAGCCACACUGGGACUGAGACACGGCCCAGACUCCUACGGGAGGCAGCAGUGGGGAAUAUUGGACAAUGGGGGGAACCCUGAUCCAGCCAUGCCGCGUGUGUGAAGAAGGCCUUAUGGUUGUAAAGCACUUUAAGCGAGGAGGAGGCUACUGAGACUAGUACUCUUGGAUAGUGGACGUUACUCGCAGAAUAAGCACCGGCUAACUCUGUGCCAGCCGCCGCCGUAA
rnacentral:rRNA from 1 species